rnacentral:rRNA from 1 species
UACGUAGGGUGCAAGCGUUAAUCGGAAUUACUGGGCGUAAAGCGUGCGCAGGCGGUUAUGUAAGACAGAUGUGAAAUCCCCCGGGCUCAACCUGGGAAUUGCAUUUGUGACUGCACGGCUAGAGUGUGUCAGAGGGGGGGUAGAAUUCCACGUGUAGCAGUGAAAUGCGUAGAGAUGUGGAGGAAUACCGAUGGCGAAGGCAGCCCCCUGGGAUAACACUGACGCUCAUGCACGAAAGCGUGGAGGAAGCAACGA